rnacentral:rRNA from 1 species
CCUACGGGAGGCUGCAGUGGGGGAUAUUGGACAAUGGGCGAAAGCCUGAUCCAGCCAUGCCGCGUGUGUGAAGAAGGCCUUCGGGUUGUAAAGCACUUUCAGUGGGGAAGAAAGCCUUGGGGCUAAUACCCUCGAGGAAGGACAUCACCCACAGAAGAAGCACCGGCUAACUCCGUGCCAGCAGCCGCGGUAAUACGGAGGGUGCGAGCGUUAAUCGGAAUUACUGGGCGUAAAGCGCGCGUAGGCGGUCUGAUAAGCCGGUUGUGAAAGCCCCGGGCUCAACCUGGGAACGGCAUCCGGAACUGUCAGGCUAGAGUGCAGGAGAGGAAGGUAGAAUUCCCGGUGUAGCGGUGAAAUGCGUAGAGAUCGGGAGGAAUACCAGUGGCGAAGGCGGCCUUCUGGACUGACACUGACGCUGAGGUGCGAAAGCGUGGGUAGCAAACAGGAUUAGAUACCCUUGUAGUC